rnacentral:rRNA from 1 species
UUUUAUAAACUGAAUCUCGUAAAUUAAAAUGAUAAACUAGGAUUAGAUACCCUAUUAUUUUUAAUGAAUUUAAAAAAUAAAGGUAGUACUAGUUAAUUUCUUGAAACUUAAAAAAUUAGGCGGUAUUAUAGUCCUUUUAGAGGAACCUGUUCUGUAAUCGAUAAUCCACGUUAGAUUUUACUUAAAUUUGUUUAGUUUGUAUACCGCCGUUAUUAAAUCUUUGAUAAGAAUGUAAAUUUUUAAUUAUUUUUAUUAAAAAAUAUAUCAGGUCAAGGUGCAGCAUAUAUUUAAGUAGUAAUGGGUUACAAUAAAUUUAUUUAUAUGGAUUUUUUUAUAAAUAAAUAAAUGAAGGUGGAUUUAAAAGUAAAAUUAAAAAUUAUAUUAANNNNNNNNNNGCUCUAAGAUAUGUAC